rnacentral:ncRNA from 1 species
AGAUAAAACUCCUAGCCUUUGUGUCUAAGUUCUCCUGAAUAUGAUGCUCUGGCCGUGACCUUGAGUCACCAGGGUGCAAGAUAGAAAUGUCUGCAUCUCCCGUAUUUGGAAAGGUGUGAAUA